UGACCAUAAUGUCUGAGGUUUAGGGAAACUAUGGUUCAACCCAACUGAAGGAUACCAGAUUAGUCCUCCUGUAAUGCAACAAUAACAUUAGACAUUAUCACCUUCACUGAGUCUUACAGUUGAUGAUGAUCCUCAAAACCCGAAUGGAAAGAAGAUGCAUUAAGAUUUCAGCUUGCACCAUUUGCUCACUGGACAAAGGCCACUUUUAUCUCAUAAAGGGAGAAGCAGAUCUGCCUCCAAUGAUCUUCUCUCUUUACAGCCAGAUUGCAUCCUUAGAGGCAACAGAACUUUUAACUCUCCAUCCAGGAAGCAGUUUGACUACAUACGGCACUUUGAUGGAGACACAAUGCUGAGGAUGCAAUUCCCUUUCUUCUCACCAGAACUGGGAUCAGAAAAAUGCCUUGAUCUGUUUGGGAAAACUAGUAAGACCAAGUCUUCUUCAGAUCAAGCUCUACUGCUCA